rnacentral:rRNA from 1 species
UACAGAGGUCCCAAGCGUUGUUCGGAUUCACUGGGCGUAAAGGGUGCGUAGGCGGUCGGGUAAGUCUGAUGUGAAAUCUCACAGCUUAACUGUGAAACUGCAUUGGAUACUAUCCGGCUCGAGGAAUGGAGGGGAGACUGGAAUACUUGGUGUAGCAGUGAAAUGCGUAGAUAUCAAGUGGAACACCAGUGGCGAAGGCGGCUCACUGGCCCGAUACUGACGCUGAGGUGCGAAAGCGUGGGGAGCAAACAGG